CUAAGAAUAUUCCGCAAUGGACGAAAGUCUGACGGAGCGACGCCGCGUGGAUGAAGAAGGCCGAAAGGUUGUAAAAUCCUUUUGCUGGGGAAGAAUAAGCGUGGGAGGGAAUGCCCACGUGAUGACAUGAACCGGCGAAUAAGCCCCGGCCAACUACGUGCCAGCAGCCGCGGUAACACGUCGGGGGCGAGCGUUGUUCGGAAUUACUGGGCGUAAGGGGCAUGUAGGCGGUUUUGUAAGCUUGACGUGAAAGACCACGGCUCAACCGGGGGGGGGCGUUGAGAACUGCGAGGCUUGAGUUACGGAGAGGGAGCUAGAAUUCCUGGUGUAGGGGUGGAAUCUGUAGAGAUCAGGAAGAAUACCGAUGGCGAAGGCAAGCUCCUGGCCGAUGACUGACGCUGAGGUGCGAAAGUGUGGGGAUCAAACA
rnacentral:rRNA from 1 species